rnacentral:rRNA from 1 species
AGAUUGAACGCUAGCGGGAUGCUUUACACAUGCAAGUCGAACGGCAGCGCGGACUUCGGUCUGGCGGCGAGUGGCGAACGGGUGAGUAAUAUAUCGGAACGUGCCCAGUAGCGGGGGAUAACUACGCGAAAGCGUGGCUAAUACCGCAUACGCCCUACGGGGGAAAGGGGGGAUCGCAAGACCUCUCACUAUUGGAGCGGCCGAUAUCAGAUUAGCUAGUUGGUGAGGUAAAGGCUCACCAAGGCGACGAUCUGUAGCUGGUUUGAGAGGACGACAGGCCACACUGGGACUGAGACACGGCCCACGUACUCCGUACGGGAGGCAAGGCAGGUAGGGUAAUUUGGACAAGUAGGGGGAAACCCGUGACUCCGAG